rnacentral:misc_RNA from 1 species
AAGUCAGGUUUCUUACCUUUAUCUCCUCUGCAUCUUUGACUUGAAAUGGAGUAGAAUUGUCUAAAAUACGCUUCAUAGCUUCAUUUAGCUCAGACGACUAUUGGACAGUCUGAGAGGACAAUUCCUGCUUGACUGAGAUAGCGAGAGAGAUAGCAAAGGAGCAGACACUGUCGGCACGACAGCAUGGCAAGAGGGUCGUCGUUACUUCGCCUCGUUGGCUGGGCGGUCGGCGUGGCGGCCGUGCUGGUGGUGUUCUACAAGAGGCGGGAAAAGGGCGCAGCAGAAGACGAGUCUCGCUCAGUCGCCGAGAUGGCGGUGCCAGCGACGAGUGUGGUGGUGCUCGACCGAGGCAACAACACCACUUGUACCGUCAAUUUACACGGUGCAACAGUGGUAUCAUGGCGUGUGAACAACCAGGAACAACUUUUUGUGAGCAAGCAAGCAAUAUUUGAUGGGAAACGUGCCAUCCGAGGAGGAAUCCCAAUUGUUUUCCCCCAGUUUGGAGCAUGGAGCACAGGCCCCCAGCAUGGGUUUGCCCGCAUUUCUCGCUGGGAAUUAAAAAAACCUCCUGAACGUUUACCCACUGGCGAUGUGGAGGCAAUUUUCCAGCUUCUUGACAAUGAGUUUACUCGUUCCAUGUGGAAUUAUCCGUUCAGUCUAACAUACCGGCUGAUCCUACGUGAGAAGGAGCUCCACUUCAACAUCUCAGUGUACAAUCCAGGAGCAGAGACAUUGUCCUUCACCCUUUUGUUACAUACCUACUUCAAGGUCCCUGAUGUACGACGUUGUCAGAUAACUGGCAUGAGGGGAUGUACCUACAUUGAUAAGACACGGGAGGGAGCUCUGUACCAAGAACACCGAGAUGUAGUAACUAUUAAUGAGUGGACAGAUCGUAUAUAUCAGAACACUCCCCUAGAGCACAUCAUUACUAAUGUUGUCAGUGGUCGAAAGAUGAGAAUACAGAAGUACAACUUGGUUGAUACUGUGGUGUGGAAUCCCUGGGUGGAGAAGGCCAAAGAAAUCCCAGACUUUGGGGAAGAAGAGUUCCCAAACUUAGUGUGUGUGGAAGCAGGUCAUGUCUCAGCUCCUGUUAUCCUUCCACCUGGCACAGUGUUUGAAGCCAGUCAGAUCUUGCAGGUCAUGUAGAUUGCAAGAGUGGAAGGUACUUGCAAGAGAGUAGUUUUUGGAAGGAGAUACUAAGUAUAUGUAGAGUUAAUUGGAGUAAUGAGGACCUUGUUGGUGCAGGUGGCUACUAGCAAGCACUGAUCUUUUGUGUUUGAGCACAAACAGAGGAUGCAUGAUAUUACAUCUAGUAGACCGAAAAUGCCAGCAUGGUAUCUUUGACAGGAGUAAGUUUGCAUUUUUUUUUUACAGUACGAAUUAGGGUUGUGAAGGUUUAAUGUUAUUUAGAGGCCUUUUCCCUUUUCUUUGUGAAUAAUGCUUUACAUGGCCUCUCCUUUAAUCAUGUCAUAUAGUAGGAAGAAACAUGGUGUAUAUUAUGUUUGCAUUUAUUUUGACUGAAAAGCACAAUAAGGCUCUUAAUUUAAUGAAGAUCAAGUAACUGACUAGACACAUGUGACAAGUCUUGUAUAUGAAGUGUAAGUCUUGAUGUCAAAACAAGAUAUGCUGUUGACUUACAAUCUUCACAUGGAAAUCUCUCAUGGUGCUAUGAGUUUCACAGGAAAUGAAGUAAAAAAAGAAAAUUCCCUUAUAUUUAUAAUGCACAUCAUUACAUCAAUCAGCCAGGAAGAAUAAUUUUAAGAAUAAGAUCUCUGAUGUAUCAAUCCCUAUGAAUAUAUAAGUACAUUGCAGAAAAUUUAUACGGUGUGAAGUAAUUAUAUAAGUGUUUGAUCUCACCUAUAGUGUUAAGAUGUUAAGCACAAAAGUUAUAAAACUGCGUCCAAAAUGUAACACGUGACCUGGUUAUCCACAGCAUUUAUUAAGGUUGUGUCACUAUUUUCAUUAUAUUUGUAUCCCAGUUGCAAAAAACCAAAGUCUGAAGAAUGAUGAAUUAAGACAGGGUGAUUUAACUAUUAAUAAUAUUUGUAUUUUGUAUGUUUGUUGUAGAGGAAUCGCUACUAAUCUAGAUAUGGUAUUGUAGUAUGGAUUUGCUUUUGCGCAAUUCUGUGAUGGUGCAUAAUAAUUUAAAAAAAAGAGUGCUAAUGGGUUGCUAACUGUUGUGGAGUAGAAGACGUUUAGGAGGUUUGUAGUUGACAUUUUAAGCUUUCUAAUAUUGUUAAAUACCCAGACCUGGGUAGCAUGUGGCUUUCCUACUCUAGUUUCUGCAGAUGACUUCUGCCAAAAAACUAUUUUUAGUGUGACAUUUAAAAGAAAAGGAAGUUUUUAUAUAAGAACAUUUGGUGACCAUUAGGCUGGCCCAGAUUAUGAUUUCAUGACAUCAUAUUCAUGCAGAUUAUAGCUUUUUAGCCAAAUUUAUCAUGACGCAUCUUCACAAUACUCUCUAGAAUAGGACCACCUAAGGAUGCACAUAAAAAUAUUACAAACAGGUAUAAGUAAAAUUUUAAGUUUGGUUGAAAAUAAUUGUUUAGGUUUCACUAAUCUAUUUAUUUUAAAAGUCAUUAAAAGAGUCCUUUAUUUUAUAUAAUUUAAAUAUUUAGUGUAAUGAGUCAUCUUUCCACUUAACCUGCAAGUAAUUAUCACAGCAAGGGAGUGUACUCUCUGAGCAUUGUACUCCUCAAUUGUUCUCUGCCAAAAAUGUUCUUUAGGGAAGAAUGUUUAUAUUUAAUCCCUUUUCGUAGACAUGAAUGUUCCUGCUCUUGUAAUUAUUGCUUGAAGCCAGAUAACAGUUGAAAGGGUACAGUCUGUAAGAUUAAGUUGGAAUUUGGUUAGAAUGAAAAGCUCUAGGAUAUCUUAUCGAGAGUAAAUAAUAGUAGGAGAGAAAGGUCACAGACCUUUGGCAUUAUUAUUAAUAUUCUUGUGCAUUCCUGCUUCAUUUCAUUCAUUUUGAGAGAUGUCUUUUAUUGUGAACUGAUUAAAUAAACAAAAAUUUUGAGUUGAUGAAAUUAUUUGUGAAAUGUAAUUGACAAUGUAUUAUAUCUUUUGUUAAUCACUCAUAUAUCAAAUAAAAUUAUGUCUAGAGUACUUUGUUUAUAUAUGUGGUCUUUCACAAAAGUGACUUGCUAGAUAAUGAAGCCUUUACCUUUUUUCUUUUUUCCUUCCAUUUCAUUCUGUAAAAGGGUCAUUAAUUAGUUCUUUUUGUGCAUGACACUUUAUUUACCUACUUACAGAUUUGCAGUUUAAAAUUACGUGAGUGUGGACAUGUGUUAUUCUUUCAGAUUUUCGAGGACACUUUAGUGACUUACACAGUAACAAGGUGAAUAAGAUAAUCAGUUUCUUUUAUGUCAAGCUUAUCAGGUAUGACUCUUUCCUUGUUUCUUUCACCUAGCUAUAACUUCUCCUUCUCAUAGAUUAUAGUACUUUUACCUCUCCUGUUAAAAUCCAUUGUUGUGGUUGUUAAGAAGGUGACGUUACUGUCAAGAGCAGCUUGUAGCAUUAUUACGUUGAUGUAUUAAUGUGAAUAUUUUUCGAGAUGAUUACUCUGUAAUACAUGUAUCUUCUUAUAGGUUGUUAUAUGGAGGUUGUUGUACUGUUAUUGAUUAGACUAAUAAUGCCAGAUUUCAUUUUUUGCUAUACAACAUUCAGUGAAAGACAUGGUUGUUACAUUCACAUAUGUUUGAUUUUUACUCUAGAAUGUUUCCAGUGUUGAUUUAAACCAAGACACAAGACCCCUCACUAAUACAGGUGACUCUCAAGAUGAAAGGAAAUACAUAUAUGAAAAGUAGUAUAGUAUUAGGAUUUAACUAAGCUUGUAUAUGGACAAUGCUGGCCCACCCUUUCUGUUUAGGUGGGGGAGCUUUGUUUCCAACACCAGCCGAAUUGCCUAGUGUAAGGAAUUUGUAUUUUUUGUUUGUUUUCAUUUUUGUUGCAUAGCACAUCGAGAUGAGUUGUCAAGGGCCAGGAUGUAUUUUUUCUUUUUGUUGGUAAAUUUUUCCUCAUUGUUGAUUCCACAUGAUUUAUAACAUAGACAAAAUUUUAGCAAAGUGCUUGGUAGCCUUAUAGAGCUUCACAUUCUAUCUUACCUUUUCCUAUAAUUCACCAGCAGAAAUUUUGAAAACAGCAAUGAACAUUAUGUUCAUUAAAUAAAUAACAACCAUAAAGUUAUUUUAUUAGAAAGAGUUAAUCAAAACCUUUUCUAAUUUGUAAAUGACAAUUACACAUCAAUAAGCUGAGGUUGUUGGUGAAGAUAUAGAGAUGAAAGGGCUACCAAUUGCUUUGUUUGGGAAGUAUCACAUCCAAACGCUCAUUUCUGACAACUCUCUCAUUUUACCAUGACAUGUGAACCAAAUAUUGACCUGUACUACAAAUAUUUUUUUGUCUAAAGACUGAUUUUUUUUAAUGGAAUAUGUUAAAAGUACAGAAUGUUA